rnacentral:rRNA from 1 species
CCGGUGGAUCACGUGGCUAGUGUGUCGAUGAAGAGCGCAGCCAACUGUGUGAAUUAAUGUGAACUGCAUACUGCUUUGAACAUCGACAACUUGAACGCAUAUUGCGGCCACGGGUUAGCC